AGGGCCAGGACCUUCCCAGCGUCCCUUCUCCGAACCUCAAUGACUUCAUAAAGCAAAGAAAAUGUGUGUAGAUUUCGUGGGUUGUGAGGAUUAAAGAUAAUGCUUGAGAGUCUCUGACCCACGGAAGGGCCAGAUUCUAUCACUGUGCGUUUAGUGACGACUCCAUGAAAUAGGCAAAGGGUUCCGACUGAGAGAGGAAUGGGCACUCGCUCGGUCUCAGCCUCUCCCCAUUUUGCUGGUCCCUCUCCUUUAUCUUCCAGUUAGCAGGCGUCGUUUUAAUGGUUUAAGUGAGAGUUGCUGCCACCUAGUGUUCAAAUGAAGAUGCGCAGAGGCCCGCGGAAGAGAUAGAUGAGUGCCGCUCAAACAUAGCAAAUUCAGCACCUGUGACAGCGUUGGCCCAGCUUUAGAGGCUGUUCAACAGAGUGCACCCAACGAGGCAUUUAAUCACCACAUGGUUGGUGACAAUAAUUUUAUGACAUUUUAA